rnacentral:rRNA from 1 species
AUUGAACGCUGGCGGCAUGCUUUACACAUGCAAGUCGGACGAGUGGCGAACGGGUGAGUAAAGCAUAGGAACGUACCGAAUAAUGGGGGAUAACUGUCCGAAAGGACAGCUAAUACCGCAUAUUAUUCGAACAGCCGAUGUCGGAUUAGCUGGUUGGCGGGGUAAAGGCCCCCCAAGGCGACGAUCCGUAGCGGGUCUGAGAGGAGGAUCAGCCACACUGGGACUGAGACACGGCCCAGACUCCUACGGGAGGCAGCAGUGGGGAAUUUUGGACAGUGGGCGCAAGCCUGAUCCAGCCAUGCGGCGUGUCUGAAGAAGGCCUUCGGGUUGUAAAGGACUUUUGUCAGGGAAGCGGUACCUGAAGAAUAAGCACCGGCUAACUACGUGCCAGCAGCCGCGGUAAUUC